UAAGUUACGUUAUAGUCCAAGUCUGGGCUCUCCUCUACCUGGUGUUCUCAUUCAGAUCUCAGCUCCCCUGGGCCAGCUGUGAGAACACCUGGAAUACAGCUAACUGUACGAGUCUUCAGAUUUUGGAUUCUCCCACAACGAAUCAGACAAAUCAGACCAUGCCGACAAACACCACCUCUGCUGCUACUGAGUUCUGGGACCAAGACAGCCCAACAAAGUCCAAAGCCUUCAGUAGCUCAUUCACACCUGGCGCCUUGCUGCCAAAGAGCUUCUUGA